UUGCCAUAAUUAAGCCUUUGUCUAACCUCCCAGAGCAAACAACUCUGGAUCCUUAAUUGGAUAAGCCACUUAGUGGUUGGCAACUUGUGGACCAUGAUUCGGAUUUAUCUGAUGAGUCUGCAGGGACUGGGAAUUACGAACUCCCAUUGCACCACCGGUGACCCCCUUUAAGGGUGGCUAAGGUGAUUUUCUUGCAGGUACUCAGCAUUCUGGAAGCUCAGUAUUUAUGUGGAGGGAUACACUUACUGAACUCGUGAGUGACACCCUUACCCAAAAAACCGAGAGAAAAUUGAGUGUUGAGUGAUACACCUGCAGAACAUUUUAGUGAGACACCUACUAAUUACCAAAUUUAUACCUAAAGACAAAGUGGAUGUUGUUACUGGUAUGUCAGUUUCACUCAUUACUUUUCCGUUUGGAACCUAUUCUUUCAGCAUAGGGACCAACCCAAUCAAAGUAAACCCUUCUUCUGAACUCUUUCUUCGACCCCAGCUUUAGCGUUGUUUAGUUCUCUAUGGGGAGAUUAUCUUUUGGUACAGGAAGUAUUGUACACGUUCCUUGACCAUAUUUGAUACCACAUAUCCUCGGAGGAUUCCACAACUAAGGGGGAGAAUAUAUUUAGGGGGAGAAUAUAUGAAAGGGGGAAGAAAAAGUAAGUGAGCUUUCUUUAGCUGUCUACAACUAAGGGGGAUUAAACUACUCUUUAGCUGUGUACUACUGAGGGGGAGAUUUUUCUUUCAACUAAGGAGGAGGAUUGAUCUUUCAUCUAAGGGGAGACAACAACUUAUCACCAAGGGGAACCUGAUCAAGGUAACGGGAGGAGAAGUAUAAGGUGAUACAUCUAUUCUUCAGUAUGUGGUAGACGUGAACUUAUUCAUUACCACUGAAGAAUUCAAUGAAGCUGCUGAUUGUUCUUUGCAUAAUGGAAUGUUUUGAAUUCUCUUCAAGACAGACUAUGAGGAUUAUCUGGCAGGUAAGCAA
rnacentral:lncRNA from 1 species